ACAGAUCCAGGCUGUCUCUUGCGGUGCGCAUGCACCUACCGUAUCGUUAUCAACGUCUCCGAGGCAGAUUGCGUGCGGGAAGAGGCUCCCGCUGAACUCCAGCGCCACGCGCUGCACGUAGCUAACUGACCUCAUGGCACCUCCAAGAGCAGAGGGAGCGGAGAGGCCCAGUAAAUAUUCCCUGAACCCCCGUCGCGACAGCCGCCAGAGCGGAAGGCCACCUAAGGCAGCAAGUUACGUCACUGCCUGAACCUCCAAUCUCUGCCUCUUCCUCCUUUAACCUUACAGAGGAGGCGGGUCUUCCGGGCUUGGAGGCGGGCUUCCCAACUCUGAUCAAGACUUGGUUUGAAAAAGGAGACAAAAGGCUGAGAGAUCUGAGUUCAAGUUUCCGCUGUAUGUGGUCGUCAGACUAAGGUCUGGUUUGGAGACAGGAGAGCGAGAGGAGUAUGAGUGAAGAGAAUAGAAACAGUUCAAAACAGGUAAGGAAGAAACCAGGUUAUAGGUG
rnacentral:lncRNA from 1 species